CCCCACGGCAAGCGCGAAGCCGAUGUACUCCGCCGGGGCGUCGCCCGUAUGCUCGCAGACGGAGUAGUUCCCGGCGGCCAAAGGGGGGUGGGGGACCGCCAGGGGGCGGUAGUCUAGCACAUCGGAGCACCCGCCCUC
rnacentral:SRP_RNA from 16 species